rnacentral:rRNA from 1 species
CAGUCGCCGCGGUAAUACGAAGGGGGCUAGCGUUGCUCGGAAUUACUGGGCGUAAAGGGAGCGUAGGCGGAUCGUUUAGUUGGGGGUGAAAUCCCGGGGCUCAACCUCGGAACUGCCUUCAAUACUGGCGAUCUUGAGUAUGGGAGAGGUGUGUGGAACUCCGAGUGUAGAGGUGAAAUUCGUAGAUAUUCGGAAGAACACCAGUGGCGAAGGCGACACACUGGCCCAUUACUGACGCUGAGGCUCGAAAGCGUGGGGAGCAAACAGGAUUAGAUACCCCAGUAGUCCCUGUCUCUUAUAC